AUGGGAGCUAAGAAGUCAUCUUCCAGUUCAUUUACAAGAUUAUUCAAGUGUUGUUUUUCGAGUAGAAGCAGUUAUGAUCACUUGGAAGGUAGUGGAAGAGGAAGAAGGAUAUUUACAAGUGAUGAAGACAUAGGUUGUUGGAUUGGAGAGCCUGAUAUUGAUAGGAAAGCCACUGAUUUCAUUGCUAAAUACUAUGCUACUCGAGUCAGAAACUCUCAGAGCCAAGUUGCAUCUUGA